CCUACGGGAGGCAGCAGUGAGGAAUAUUGGUCAAUGGAGGCAACUCUGAACCAGCCAUCCCGCGUGAAGGAUUGAAGGCGCUCGACGUCGUAAACUUCUUUUAUAUAGGAAUAACCGUAAGUACGUGUACUUACCUGAAUGUACUAUAUGAAUAAGCAUCGGCUAACUCCGUGCCAGCAGCCGCGGUAAUACGGAGGAUGCAAGCGUUAUCCGGAUUUAUUGGGUUUAAAGGGUCCGCAGGCGGAUCGGUCAGUCAGUGGUGAAAUCCCAUCGCUUAACGAUGGAACUGCCAUUGAUACUGCCGGUCUUGAGUCUAGUUGACGUAGGCGGAAUAUGACAUGUAGCGGUGAAAUGCAUAGAUAUGUCAUAGAACACCAAUUGCGAAGGCAGCUUACGAAACUACGACUGACGCUCAUGGACGAAAGCGUGGGUAGCGAACAGGAUUAGAUACCCUGGUAGUCCACGCCGUAAACGAUGAUCACUCGAUGUCAGCGAUAUACUGUUGGUGUCUUAGCGAAAGUUUUAAGUGAUCCACCUGGGGAGUACGUUCGCAAGAAUGAAACUCAAAGGAAUGACG
rnacentral:rRNA from 1 species